ACAAUCUGGGGGGGAAGGGGAGACCCAGCCUGGACCACCGACCUAAGGCUGCCCAGGGCGGCAGUCUCUUCUCAGCUCCCAGCCUCCCCUGGCGCCCCUCUUAAUCCCCGACGCACCCCUCACACCCCCCGCCCUGCGCCGCCGGCCACUGCCCCUCUCUGGAGCUUCUUCACGAGCCCAAGUGUUCAGGACACGUCCUCCCCAGCCACCGUCAGCAUCGUCUGCCUGCAGCCCCGGGGGGGUGGGGGCUGGGGGCUCAGAAAAGACUCCUGGAGAGCUGGACCCUUCUCUUGGCCACUUUUUCUCCAGUCUUGGCUUAGACAUGAUUCCCCGCCAGGUGCUGUGGCUCACGCCUGUAAUCCCAGCACUUUGGGAGGCCGAGGCGGCCGGAUCACGAGGUCAGGAGAUCGAGACCAUCCUGGCUAACACGGUGAAACCCCGUCUCUACUGAAAAUACAAAAAAAUUAGCCGGGCGUGGUGGUGGGCACCUGUAGUCCCAGCUACUCAGGAGGCUGAGGCAGGAGAAUGGCGUGAACCCGGGAGGCGGAGCUUGCAGUGAGCGGAGACCGCGCCACUGCACUCCAGCCUGGGCGACAGAGCGAGACUCUGUCUCAAAAAAAAAAAGACAUGAUUCCCUCCAGCAGAGGAGCCGCUGAUGUCCCGUGUAUGCCAGGCAUCUUCCUGGGGUGAGAAACAGCCCAGCCUGCAGGCUGACCCCCACCCUGCUGUGCCACGAGGACAGGGGCAUGUCCACAAAGCCGACCCUGCACCUGCACAGGACCUGGGACCCGUGGGGCCACCCACCCGUGCCUCCCUUCAUCCCGGCGCACUGCCUGUCCCGGCCCCCAGUCCCGAAGCCCUCAGGCUUUGAAUGUAGGUCUCUGGCUCCUUUCUCUUGCCCGUGUGUACGUGCUCCACCGCGCCGUGGCCUCUUCGACCCACACUCCUGCUUGGGCUCGCCCUCCUGUCUGUCCUUCAAGGGACCAUGGCAUGGGGGUGGGGAAGGGAUCUGGGGCACAGGGGGCUGGAAUAGAGCAUAGCACACUGCCAGAACUGUGAGGGGAGAUGGUGUCAGAGCUGAGCCCUCAAGGUGGGCAGGGAUCAAGCAGGUGCCUGAGGGCAGGUGGAGCAGAGGAGUCUGCAGUCCAGAACUGCAAAGGCAGGGAGGCGUGGGGGUGGUGGGAGAGGCACCCUCCCGGCAUGUCCUAGGCAGGGUGAGCCUGAGAGGGGGGCAGGCCCGCCCACCCUCAGCCUCCAGGCAGCAUUUUGUCUUUUAUCCCCAGGGGAAUCAGGAGCCAUUGAAGAAGUUGAUUUGCUUUAUAAAACUUUCAUUACAUUUUCCUGUUAUACAGCAGGGUCCUGUCAGACAACUAACUGCCCCAGACUUAAGUAGGGCUGGGUCAAGAGGGGCACUGGAGACCCCCUGUGGGAUGGGGGCAGCUUCCUCUCCUCCCUCCUGUUCUCUCUGCUUCCUGUGCUGUGCCAGGUGUGCUGGACGGUGUCCAGGGGAAGCAGGCCCCACCCCCACUUCCUUUAGUGGCUUUCAUUGACCUCACCGCACCCUCCUCCUUCAGGCCAGAGGGGGUGGAUGGGCUGUCUGGGGUGGGGACACUGAGGGAGGUCUGUGGGGCCCCCACCUUCAGUCUGGUGGACAUCUGGUACCCUCGAGGCUUCUCUGUCUCUCCGCCUGGCCAGAUGAUCUUCCUGUCAUUAGGGAUGACCUGGGGGUGGGAGUAUGAGAUGGAGGGUGGCCACGCAGGGGUCUUGGCCCCAGGACCCUAAGGCCCCAGCCCCCACCCCCUCAUGACCCCCACCUACGUGGGUGCCAUUGUAGAUGCCCACUUGCACCAGCUUGCGGUUCUGCAGGUUCAUGAUGCUGUAGUUGGCGAACUUCCGGUCCCCAUCCUCAUUGAACUCCACGCGACCAGUCACCCCAUCCGCAUACUUGGAAGACAUCAGCACUCUAGGGAAGGAAGCAUAGCUGAGGCUUCUCAGAGAUGCUCCUUCUCCUGCUCCUCCCUGCUCCUUCCCCCUGCUGCUUCUCCCUGCUCCUUCCCCCUGCUCCUUCUCCCUGCUCCUUCUCCUGCCGGCUGAGCAGCUUGGGCUUUUCCCUUGUCCCAGUCCCAAGAACGGAAAGAUCAGCAGACGCCAGACCCUGGACACCGUGGUAUCUGCCUGCACCAGAUGGACGGUGUGGUUCAUGACAGCUGAGUGGUUUAUGGGUGCCAGACCCGGCUUUCUGUGGGUUAGGACGUUGUCCUCAGAACCAUCCUGCCUUACAGAGACGGAGGCAGAAGCUCAGAAGGAUGCCUGCCCUCUUGCCAGCAAGUGAAGGCGAGGUUGAGCCAGCUCUAACCACCAGGCUGUCCUGUCCGGCUGUGUGUGCACGUGUGCAUUGUACCCAUCGGGCCACAUCAGUGAACCUGUGUGCACACGUGAUCCCUAUGUGGGGUGCACCCCAUGCAUGUGCUUGUGUCACAUGUGUGUCAUGUGCCUGAGUCUGUGUGCACACAUGGUUCUGUGUAUGUGUGUCGUGUGUGUGCACACGUGCUGCCUACAUCUGCACUUAUGUGGGCGUUGUGGAUGGUGGCUCUGCACGUGCUACUCAGUGGUUGGGGAUCUGGGGGUGAGCUGGCAUGGCAUGGUGUCCAGGCGUGCUGUGAGCUAACUCCUGCCACACUGCAGAUGUUCACUUGGGUCUCUGGGCCUUGGCCAACCCUGGCUGUCUAAGGCUCGUGUGCUGUUCUUGGGCUGCUUGUCUGGCCUCCUGGGUCCCUGGAAGCUUUCAGUCCCCAUCUGCAUCAAGAGCCUCCUCCCAAAGGCUGCCAGCCACACAGGGAGAGGGGUGCUGUUUCAGGGUGGGCUGCAGUGUGGAAAGUAGGGGCGGAGGCAGUGGAGCCAGUCCCCACUCCAGUGACGGCCCAGGUACUGGUGUCAGUGUUGAGAAGAGGGCAGAUGAUUGUGCCAUUAGAUGUGGUGGUGCUGGGGGUGUGGGGGGAGAGGAGAGAAGUAACAGUGUCCAGAGGAUGUUGGCAGCAGGCUCCACUGCAGUACCCCUGAGAGCGACGCCGCCCACCUCCUGGAAGCGACCCCGCCCACCUCCCCGAGAGUGCCCCCACCCAUCUCUUGAGGAGCGCUCCCCCAGCUCCCUAAGAGCGGCCCCGCCUAGUCCUGAGAGCUGCUCCGCCCAGCUCUGGAGAGUGGCCCCGCCCACCUCCCCAAGAGCGGCCCCGCCCAUCUCUGGAGUGACCCCGCCCACCUCCCCAAGAGCAGCCCCGCCCAGCUCCGGGGAGGCCCCGCCCACCUCUUGAAGAGCGGCCCGGUCUUCCAGAUGUUGGUGUUGCCCACGCAGCCCCGCGGCGGGUCGGUGAUGUUCUCCUUCUCGAGGAGCUCGUGCACGGCCUGGGCCACCACGCCCACGGCGUCGCUGAUGUGGGCCGACUCGUUCUUGCCGUUGAUGAGCUGCAGCCCGAGGAUGCCUAGGCGAGCAUGCGACUCAGAGCCCGUGGGGUCCUCCCCGUUCGGGGACCCCGCCAAGGCCCAGCACUCACCGUCUGGGGCGUAGCGCAGGGCGUUCCCCGAGAUCUCGCGCUCGCCGACCAGCCACACGUACCCGGAGCCCGUCAUGUUCAGCAUCGCGGCUGCGCGGUAUACAGUGGCAGCAUCGUCCUCGCUGUGGGGCAGACGGGGAUGACGGGCCAGGACUCCAGCACUCCCACCGCGGCGCUCCGCAGGCCCAGGUCCUCCUCCUCUGGAGCAGGGACCUGCCCAGCCCCCAUCCCCUCCUAGAGCGAAGCCUGCAGACCUCGCAGAGGCGCUGCGGCCCAGAACCCAGGAGCCUCCCAGGCCUCCGUUGCUGGCUCUUACCUUGGGGGAGCAGGGAUGGGGUUAGAUGCUGGCCCCCUUACCUUGGGGGAGCAGGGAUGGGGUUAGAUGCUGGCCCUUACCUUGGGGGAGCAGGGGUGGGGUUAGAUGCUGGCCCUUACCUUGGGGGAGCAGGGAUGGGGUUAGAUACCUGGCUUAUGGGACUGACUUCCUUCUUGUGACCUGCACCUGUGCUCCCCAGCACGCCCUUCCCUCCACCUCAGAAGGCUCUGAUGGGGUCCCAGGAUGGUAAUGGAUCACCAUUGAUCACUUGCUGGCCAGAUACCAGGCACUGCUCGAAGUGUUUUACGGGGAUUAUGUUGUUUAACUUUCACAAUAUCUCUGUGUCCCGAGGGGAAGCGGAGGCACAUGGGACACACAAGAGUUGGUAAGUGGCAGAGUCAGGACCCGAGCUCCUAAGACCUCCUAGACAGGCCACACCCCUCUGGUCCUCUAUGUUCAAACAUGUGAAAUGAGGGGUUGAGUGGCUCUCCAGGUUGGUGAGAUAUUGGUGGAUCCAGCGUCCUGGGGACGGCCAGAGAUGAGAGGCGGCUUUCCCCCUGGAGUCUGCAUAAGCAGCUGCCUUCGCCCAGCCACCCAGGCCUGGGGCCUGCAGGAGGACAGAGCCCAGACAGGCCUCACCUUGCAGGCAUGUGUGGUCUUGAGCUCUGCCAGUGUGCUUGCAGGUGGGCCCCUGUGGACAGUGGAGCAGGGGACCUGGUCCUCUGGGGCUGGGGCCUCUCUGGUUAUGACAAGGACCUGGAGACCUGGUGGGACUCUGGAGGCCUUUGGGGGGUCUUCCCUCACCCCCGUCUGUCAGACCUUUCUCUGCAGGGCCUGACCUGUCUCCAGGUGGGCCUGGACUACCCCUGACACUUUGCUUCUCCAGACAUGGGCAGCAGGGUUGGGUGGAUUGCCUGAGUGUUGGAUAAUUUUCACAAUACUUGACUGGAAACCAAGGUGGCCCUCCCCUCCUUGAGGAGGGAUCUGCCCCCAGUUUUCUCGAGAAUAAGCCCACAAAGAAAUGCAGCCCUUCGGUGUUUGCUCUACAUAACGAUGCUAUUGGAUGUCAGUGACACAAAACAGAAGUGCUCCCAGUAGCACUGGCCCAGUGCCCCAAAUGAGAGCAUCUAGCAGAGGCUCCGCACACUGAACACAGCACAGCUUGUCCAGCAAGACCCAACACCACACGUGUCAUGGCACAGCAUGCCCGCUAUCAAAGUGCCCACCAGGGCCUGACAGACAAGCCCGUCUUCUUGACGCAAUUCAGGUCCAUGACAUGUGAUGUGGUGGAAUGAUUAGGAGCAAAACAGUUGUAAACAAAAGCCUGAUCUGUCCAUCAAAACUCAUCCGAUCGUUUUAUGGAAAUAGCUGAUACCAAUCAAGAUGACUUCAGGAAAAUGAAAAGUUUUGGAAACAAAUUAUCUGCAUGCUAUGGAAAAUUGUCAAAAAUUAA